rnacentral:tRNA from 1 species
GGGGGUGUAGCUCAAUUGGUCAGAGUUCAGGUCUCAUAAACCUGCGGUUGUGGGUUCGAGUCCCACUGCCCCUA